AAGUAUUAUUAAGUAAUGGACAAUUCAUACAAAGCAAAAAAAAAUUAUCUUUGUGAAAAAAUUCCUUAAACUUUUCUCUUUAUAGAAUAAAAGAAGUGUUUUUGUAAACGAUUUUCAUGUUUUGCAAAAUAAAGUCAAAUUCAAUGAUGAAAAGCAUAAAAACAGAUAAAUACGAUUUGACAUAUUUUAGUGAAUAAUCAAUGAUGAACGAAGAUUCAAAAUCAAUUUUAACUUUGAUUAUAUGAAAAACAAAAAAAGUUUUGACAAGAGAAAAAUAAGCGAAAAAUAAGCAAAAAGAGAGCAGAAUUUAUAAUAAACUAAAUGACAGAAUUUUGACUCACAUACAUCUUCCAAAACUAUGUGGUACACUAUUCUCUCUACUUCACUCAUUUAAAACUAAUUGUUUUCUCAUAACAAAAGUCCUCCACAUCUGGAAUCCCGCUACUAUAAGCGGUACAUACAGAAGGAAGCUGAGUAACCUUGAAACCACAAUGAUACAUUCAUCAUCACUAAAAUGGGCAGAAACAUUUAUGUUAUGGUUUCUUUUAUUUUUUUGCUUUAAACUCUUUUUGUUGUUUUAAUUUGCAGAGAUAUGAUAUGGCCUCUUACGUUUAUCAGUACUUCAAGCUUUUGAAAACCAUUGAUGGUUAUGAACCCCACCCCUCUCAAACGCAUAUUAAAAAGGUCAAAUCUCUAACGAGAAUGAAGUUUGGGUGCUUGGAUUUCGAUAGUGAACAGCUUUGUGAUUCAUCUCAGUUCUCUCUUGCUCUUGCAGGUUUCUCACCAAACCUUCUUUUUUGGUUGAAUCAAUUUUUAAUUUUCUUAUGAUUUUGCUUUUUCUUUAUUCCAGUGAAUAUAUUAAAGUUCUCCGUGACAAAAGCAAUCUUUCUUGAUUUUCUAUAUGGCUUUGGUGAUGAGAAAGCUUUCAAGGAAAUACUUGGUAAUUUUGUUACCAAGAAUAUGAAGAUAUUUUUUUUGUCAAAACCAUUCACAGAAGAAGGUAUUUUUUUUUACCGCACUUGUUUGUUCUAUAUUUGUAAUUUAGUAAUCUGACACUACAAGAAAUGUGAGUAUUAAUAGCAGAAUAUGAUAGCGUUUUUUUCGAUUAUGCUAUGGUUGACAUACCUCUUACUUUUAGAUAGCGUUUGCGAAAAUACAAACGCUAUGCAAAACUAAAGCGGAAAAUAAUUGAUUUUCCCUCUCACCCUUGUUUCAUUUUUCCUCUCACUCCAUUUUAUUUGCCUCCAAAAAUCCUAAACACUAAAACCAAAAUUUUAAACACAACCCUUAAAUUCUAACAAAAAUUUUAAACGCUAAUAUUUUAAUAUCAAAUCUCAAAUUUAACUUCAAUCUUAAAUAUAAACUCAAAAAUUAAUAUUUUUUGAAAUUAACCUAAAAUCUUAAAUCAAUACCCCAAACCUUUAACUUUCAAACUCUCUACUCAAACCUUAUUCUAAACUCCAAACUUGAAAACUAAUUUUAAAAAUUAAUCAUAUACCCUAAACUAUAACUAAAAAUAUUUAAAUUCUAAUCUUUUUAUUAUUUUUUAAAAUAAUCAUAUACCAUAAGAUCUAAUUAGAAAUCUUUUUGUCUAUGAAUAUUAUAUAUAUAUCAUAUCAUAUCAUAUCCUAAAUUAAUUAUAUAUCCUAAACUCUUACUAGAAAUCUUAAAAUUCUAAUCUUUUUCUUAUUUUAAAACAUUUUAGUUUCAAAUUUUAAAUCUAAUACCAUAAACCUAAACUCUAAAUGUAUAUCAUAACACAAAUCAUAUACCCUAAAUCAUAUCACAUAUACUAUAAACUCAAAAUUUUAAACUCUGAUUUUUAAAUACAAAAUAAAUAUGAUCAGUAAUUAGAAUAUAAUUUAGUUUUUAUAUAAAUAAAAUUAGUUAAACAUAAAAUUUUAAAUUCCUAAAACAACUAUAAUAAAAAAAAUUGUUUUUGAUUGAUUAAUUUUGGACCAUUGAUUGGUUUUAAUCCAAAGGUCACAAGUCUAUUUUAGUUAAUCCUCUCACUUUCUCUUUAUUUGUUAGUCAAUCAAAAUUAGAAUUACAAUUUGUGGCCAUUGAUUGUUUUUGAUCUUGUGGCCUAAAAUCAAUCUUCUUCAUCUAUCCAUUCAAACAUCUCUCUCACGAUUGUGAUUAACCUAAAAUCACAAAAUCAUCAGAUCAACGCACAAAGAUUGGCUCGAAUCAGCCUCUCCCGAUUCAAACUGUCUCAGUUCAAUCCUCUCUCUGUCUAUCUCUCUCAGCCAUGAUGAAAGCUUCAUCAACAACGCUACUCGAGUCAGAUUUGAGCUACAAACAGAGAUGGUGGAGGAGGAGAAGAGGCUUCGAUGGUUAAGUUCUGUAAUCUGCUGAUUCUGUGUUUGUUUGUGUCAUUUCAAUCUCAGUUCCAGGUUAGUUGUUUCGUUUCUCUGUUCUGAACGAUGCAAUAACAUUGAUUCAUCAGGAACAUGGGAUUAGUAAGUUAAAGUUGUAAGCUUUGACUUGAUUCUUAAUAAACUUAAUGGAUUUUCAUGAGUUUUCUCAUCUUAUGAUCACCAAUCUAUCUACAUUCUUGGGUUUAUUUUGUUUGUUUACUAAUGUUUUCAGUUACUUGGAGCCUCUUGCAGUUGCUCUAGAUAAAGAGAAGUGGAGCAUGUGUGUUUACUCAAAGUGAAACAGAGUUUGAUGGAGAUUGUUGAGUUCGAUAUGGCUUCUCCUUUCUUCUUUCUCUCUCGCAUGAUUGGUUCUCUUCAUGUUUUUACUAAUGUCUCAGACGGUUAUGAAUCAAGCUUUGAUCAAGAAAGCUACUCUGAGACAAGUUCAGGUAAACUAUCAAAGGGAGAUGAACACGAGGCAUAGGAGCUCGUGAAAAUUUAAAUGGUGAAGCUCAUUAUUGAGGAUGAUGGUCCGUAUGAACUAAUUUGAGUUUUGAUGUUGAAGAAGAUGAGAAGCUUGGUUGGAGAAGAUGACAUGGGAGCAGAGAUUAGAGUUUGAGAUUGAAUGUUAGCAUAUGCAGCUCUUGAGAUGUUGAAUGUAGAGUUAGCCAUACAAAAAUGUACUUAGAAAUAUUGUCAUACUAGUUAUCUCAAAUCCUUGUAUGUUUUGGAUUUUUAAUGAAAAACAUAUGGUAUUUUAUUA